rnacentral:rRNA from 1 species
AUGGCAACCCUUACCAUGCUUGCUUCUUGGACCAUUUGGAGUGAGAGGAAUGCUAGAACUUUUUGACAUAAAACCAUGCCUCAGACCAUCCUUCUGGACAUGAUCAAGCAUGAAGCAGACCUUUGGAUUAUCGUGGGUGCGAAGCAUUUGGGUAUUUUGAUGAUAGGAGAUUAA